CAUGCAUCUCAUUUGAGUGUAUUCACAACAUACACUUACAGUAAGGUGUAUUCUCAACAUACACUAGGGGUGUAUUCCCAACAUACACUUACACUAGGGUGUAUUCCCAAUGUACACUUACAUGAAUGUGUAUUCCCAACAUGCAUCCACCUUUGGGUGUAUUCCCAACAUAAACUUACACAAGGGUGUAUUCCCAACAUGCAUCUACCCUUGGGUGUAUUCCCAACACACUGUUACACCAGGGUGUGUUCACAACCUACACUUACAACAGUAUGUAUUCCCAAUGUACACUUACAACAGUGUGUUUUUUCAACAUGCACCAAUACCUGUGUUUAUUCCCAACAUACACUUACGCCAGUGUGCAUUUCUGAAACCUAAGACGUAGUUGUGCUUCAUGUAAAAUACAGGGCCACCAACAGAAUUAAGCAUGAAAGUUACACCCAUGUUCAUACAACCUGUUGUAGGGUUAUUGUUUCACAAUUUACAUAAGUGCAGCAGGUAUGUAAAAUGUAAACAGGCCAGUAACGAUUGGCCAGCUAAACUCUGUGUUGUGAACAUUGUUAGCAUUCCAAGUGAUCAGUUUACAAGACUGUCUUACAUGUCAUGUCAGUGUAAGCUCACCUCAGUAAUACAUAGUGGAGAUGUAGGGUCAACUCGCAUAAGACACCUCCAUUUAACCAGCCUUUGAAAUUCAUUUGGUUUAUGUUCCAAAGGACUAGUGUAAACCUUGUGGCAUUGGUUCUCAGAGUAGUUGCAGUUCCUGCUUAAAGAAGACAAGAAUGUUUGAUAUGUUCACAUUUUCUGUCAGAUUUAUUCAUCACAAUUUAAGCAUUGAGAACUGUUCCAGAAUGGUCAUGCUAAAAUGUUCCUAUUCAACAAGGAUGACCAUCACCGGAGUUUCACUUGUUCUCAACAUAAUUUUGCUUGUGGACUCUCCAAAGCUGGUUAACUACUAGUCAAAAGCUUGAUGGGGUAGUCUAAUCCAGUGAUCGUAACAUGGGCAGAUACGUUACGGUUCAUUGGUGAUGGUGUAGAUGUAUUAAGUAUUGUCUUGUUUGGAAUAUUUCAAUGAUGGGCUGUUUGUGAAGGACUGUGUAUUAUUCUUGUGACUCUUUAAGUGUUUGUGUCAUAGUAGUCAUCUUGUGUCUGGUAGACAGGAAAUAUUGGAGAAUGUGAUAGAAAUCCUAUCAUAUGGUGCCAGAAAUUAUAUCCAUUGACAUGACAAGAACGUGUCAGAAUGUCAUCGAGAAAGUUUACCUGUUGACAUGUAACAUGAGAAUACCUGAGUACAGAUGUUAUAUCUUUGUAAGAAAUUGCAUUUUGUAGAAAUGUAACUGCAUGUAUCAACAGGUAACUGUGGGACCAAUGUUCCCUUGUCCACAAGGACAUACUGAUCGAUCAUGUGUCAACAGGCAACUGUGGGACCAAUGUUCCCUUGUCCACAAAGACAUGCUGAUCAAUCAUGUGUCAUACCAAUGUAGGUUAAACCCCUGUCAGUGACUAGCUUCCGGACACAACUCAUCUGGAGAUGAAAGGCAAAAGAUAACACAAACAUUGAAUUUUCAUGGGUUUGUUUUUGUUUGUCAAUGAACCCAGCUAGUGUAUAAUAGAAUUGAAAUGGCUGACCCAGGACACAGGCUGGCCAGGUCAAGAGUGCAUGUAAGAAAAAAGGAGAUUUGGUUUGAUGUGGGUUUUGUAUCUCAGCUUACCAAGAGCCAAGAUCUAGGUAGUGUCUGGAAACGCCUAGGUUUGUGAAGUUGAAUUUAACUUAUUAGGUCACGAAACAGAUUCCAUUUCAAAGACAAUGUCAACUACAGGUCUGUGACCCAUAAGAGUCAAACGUUUAAUGUUUAUCUUCUGUGUGGAUUUACAAUACACAGCUUCCGAUUGUCUUUCUUCAACUAUGUAGUACACAAUUCAUGUCACUGAAUGAUUAAAACAUUUCUCUGAUA